CUAACAGCGCUCCCGUUUCCUUGAGACAGCUGCAGGCAGGAACCCUAAAGCAGCAGAGUGCCAGAACCCUCAAGAGGUGCAGGCAGUACCCCUGGUGCUAGGGCCAGCCAGGAAGCGAUACUGACCAGGAGACGACAUCCUGGCAAUGGCAGGAACUUUCCAGAUGGCGAGGCGGCCUUCCUUCGCACCCCGUGUGGAUCCACCCUGCCGGGCAUGCGAGAGCUGAGUCGAAGGCUACGACCCGCGGAAAGGAUGAAAGCAGGGUGCCGGGACGGGACAUGUGACCUGGGAUUUUUGAGUCAGCUUUGGGGACGGGGAGGUCCAGGCUGUGGCCCCUUAGGCCGCACGGUGGGAGAGCCUCACUUUUGUUCACAGUGCUGAGGUGUGCAGGACAGAGCAGCCUCGGGGCGCGUCGUGUCACUUGUCCGUCGUGCCUUCUGUGUCUUUUGUGCCUCUUGUGUUGUACGUGCCUUGCCCUAUCUCUUCUGGGGGCUUGCCAGAAACCCCAGCAUCACACUUAUAGCAUCUCCAAUCUCUGGGCUCCUCGGCUCGGCAGCUCUCAGAGGCCUCGGAAUCGCGUCUCUUUUGAAAAGCAUCCGAUCGGAUGUCUUUUAGAUGUCUUGUUCCGAGCUGUGUCAACAGCCGUGCGCCGCGAGGAUCCAUUGUUGCGGCUUAGGACUUGAAGAAACGCAAAGAUAGGUAGA